GAUGAACGCUGGCGGCGUGCCUAAUACAUGCAAGUCGAGCGAACAGACGAGGAGCUUGCUCCUCUGACGUUAGCGGCGGACGGGUGAGUAACACGUGGAUAACCUACCUAUAAGACUGGGAUAACUUCGGGAAACCGGAGCUAAUACCGGAUAAUAUAUUGAACCGCAUGGUUCAAUAGUGAAAGACGGUUUUGCUGUCACUUAUAGAUGGAUCCGCGCCGCAUUAGCUAGUUGGUAAGGUAACGGCUUACCAAGGCAACGAUGCGUAGCCGACCUGAGAGGGUGAUCGGCCACACGGGAACUGAGACACGGUCCAGACUCCUACGGGAGGCAGCAGUAGGGAAUCUUCCGCAAUGGGCGAAAGCCUGACGGAGCAACGCCGCGUGAGUGAUGAAGGUCUUCGGAUCGUAAAGCUCUGUUAGUAGGGAAGAACAAAUGUGUAAGUAACUAUGCACGUCUUGACGGUACCUAAUCAGAAAGCCACGGCUAACUACGUG
rnacentral:rRNA from 1 species